AACGAACGCUGGCGGCAUGCCUAACACAUGCAAGUCGAACGAGACCUUCGGGUCUAGUGGCGCACGGGUGCGUAACGCGUGGGAACCUGCCCUUAGGUUCGGAAUAACUCCCCGAAAGGGGUGCUAAUACCGGAUAAUGUCUUCGGACCAAAGAUUUAUCGCCUUUGGAUGGGCCCGCGUUGGAUUAGCUAGUUGGUAGGGUAAAAGCCUACCAAGGCGACGAUCCAUAGCUGGUCUGAGAGGAUGAUCAGCCACACUGGGACUGAGACACGGCCCAGACUCCUACGGGAGGAAGCAGUGGGGAAUAUUGGACGAUGGGCGAAAGACUGAGCAAGCAAGGCCGCGUGAGUGAUGAAGGCCUUAGGGUUGUAAAGCUCUUUUACCCGGGAUGAUAAUGACAGUACCGGGAGAAUAAGCCCCGGCUAACUCCGUG
rnacentral:rRNA from 1 species